AUUGAACGCUGGCGGCAUGCCUUACACAUGCAAGUCGAACGGCAGCACGGGAGCAAUCCUAGUGGCGAGUGGCGAACGGGUGAGUAAAGUAUCGGAACGUGCCCAGUCGUGGGGGAUAACGUAGCGAAAGGUACGCUAAUACCGCAUACGAUCUAUGAAUGAAACGGGGGGAUGGCAAGACCGGGCCGGAUUGGAGGGGCCGAGAUCCGGUUAGGUAGUUGGUGGGGUAAAGGCUCACCAAGUCGACGAUCUGUAGCUGGUCGGAGAGGAGGACCAGCCACACUGGGACUGAGACACGGCCCAGACUCUUACGGGAGGCAGCAGUGGGGAAUUUUGGACAAUGGGCGAAAGCCUGAUCCAGCCAUGCCGCGUGCAGGAUGAAGGCCUUCGGGUUGUAAACUGCUUUUGUACGGAACGAAAAGGUUUGGCCUAAUAAGCUGAGCUCAUGACGGUACCGUAAGAAUAAGCACCGGCUAACUACGUGCCAGCCGCCGCCGUAA
rnacentral:rRNA from 1 species